rfam:Streptomyces sp. CB03234 scaffold2, whole genome shotgun sequence.
AGAUGAGAGAAACACCCCGUCCGCAGGCAACUGCGGGCGGCUCCGGGACGGAGCCUCCCCAGCCUCGUCCUGGUCGUGCCCUCGCGCACACCACCGGAGCUUCCGGCUCCGGAUCUCCUCACCGAUCGGA